AUGCUGGCAGAAGGCCUCUAAUCCGCCCGUCUUGUAACACGGACCAAGGAGUCUAACAUGUAUGCGAGUUGGUGGGUGGAAAACCCAUGAGCGCAAGUAACCUGACUGGUGGGAAGGCUCUGCCUGCACCAUCGACCGACCAUGA
rnacentral:rRNA from 1 species